UACAGAGACUGCAAGCGUUAUUCGGAUUCACUGGGCGUAAAGGGUGCGCAGGCGGCCAAGUGUGUGAGGCGUGAAAGCCCGGGGCUUAACCCCGGAAUUGCACCUCAAACUACACGGCUAGAGCAUUGGAGAGGGUAGCAGAAUUCAUGGUGUAGCAGUGAAAUGCGUAGAUAUCAUGAGGAAUACCAGAGGCGAAGGCGGCUACCUGGACAAUUGCUGACGCUCAGGCACGAAAGCGUGGGGAGCAAAAGGG
rnacentral:rRNA from 1 species